rnacentral:piRNA from 1 species
UAUCCGUACAGUAACCUGAUG